ACAAUGAAGCUGUUACAUUUAGUGAUGAUCUUCGGUGUGCUCGCGUGUAGUUUUGCAUCUCCUACACCGGUAGAAGACGAAAAUCAAGACGCAGAUGAAAGCAAUCAAGGGAAGUUCUUGAACGUCUUCUGCACCCCUGCAUGGUGUCGCAGUUUCUGUGUGAGGCAAGGAUAUGCAGGAUGCGUUUGUACCGGCCUUCAUUCAUUUCAGUGUGUCCGAUAGAAUCAGAUAACAUGAAAUAAAAGUGCAACCGAUUGAUUAAAAUUAAAAAUUUCAGACAAUAA